rnacentral:lncRNA from 1 species
CUCAGCCUUAUUCUUAUUCUUAUUUUCCAUUUCAUUCUCCAACUUUGGCGGGGGGGGGGCAAGAUUUGAAAGAGUACUGUUUUCUCAGUUGCGUGGUUGUAAGAAGGGAAAUUUCUUAUGGGAUCAGGGAUAUAAGGAAGCCAGCAUGGGACAGGAGGAUUUCAGGCUGUCUUGGGAAGUGUGAUUUGGGACAUAAAUUCUGGGAGAGGAAGUGGGAAGAGAAGGAGAUGAGCAACAAUGUCAUGUUUAGAAAUUUAUCUUUGGCCACAUUAUCCACUUUCCCAAAGCUUCACCCUAAACCCUUUUUUGAGAAAAUAACAAAAGGGCCGGCAGGCCCAGACUCUGGUUCUGUCCCAUCCUGACUUUGGAGUUUUAUAUUUGGAGGUCUUCCACUGAUUGGUCAUUAAUCCAGUGAGUUAUUGUCUGCUAAACAGAGGUCACUGGGAGAGAGACAUCCAAUCUGUCAGGAGAGAGUGUGCAGCCACUCCCAGGGUACGGGGCUCCUACUCCUCUCUUGCUUGCUUCUCCCUCCCUCUCCAGCACCCCACUCUCAGCUGUCCAAGAUUCACAGUCUCUCCUCCUCUGCCCUCUUCAAAAUCCCGCCCAGCUUUGUUUCUUCACUCCCGAGGGGUGGGGUUUGCCAGGCCUGGACAGAGCUUCUAGAUGAGGCGGGAUCCCUGAUUCAGAAUGGGAUCUUUCACCACCAAAGAGACAGCCUGCUCCUAUGUCACUCUGGCAGUGCCUUCCCCCCCAUUAACAUGUUCAGGCGUCCUCUGUGGUCACUGAGUAGACCUGGCAGACCUUUGCACCAUCCCGUUUCUUCCUGGAUCCAACUUGCAGCCUUGGCCUGAGAGCAGCAUACCCAUAUUUGGGGUAGGGUGGGGGGUACAGCUUGACUUUUUCUUCUCCGUGGAGGCCUUCCCCCAUUACCGCCUUGGAUGUGCGCUACUGCUGCGCAGCUCUCAGAGGCCUGGGUGGAGGUGCCAAAUCUUCUUCGGAUGCCCCUUUUUUCCUUCCCACUCUCAUUUUAGGGAGCUGUUGAUUGGGGAGACAAACACUAUCCCCCUACCUUUACAAUCCCCAGUGUUGAAAUCUUUAUUCAGAUUUAAGAGAGAGAAAUCACUAGGUGAGUAUGUUAACUUUAUACCACUCCACAAUAGCCACAACGUUGGCCAGUGAAGUUGGAAGAGAAUGUGGGACAGGAACCAGGAUAGGGUCAGCAAGAAGCAAAUCGCUAAAUGCCUUCCAAGGUCCAGCUUCAGAGAGCUGGGAGGCUGGGGGAUGGACCUGAGGAGUUUUCUGCUGUUGAGCUAGGGGCAGAAUCAUUGGCCGCUCCAAGGAUAAAACCAGAAACUAGUUUUAAAGAAGCCAGCCCCCCACCCCUUAUUGAGAAAAUUUUCGUUAGCUUUUUGAUGGAUUUUUUUGUGGGGGGGGGCGGAUAAGGGAAAAAGGCAUGAUCCCAUCCAGGUUCAUAAGGAUUGGCAGCCAGCAAUUGCUCACAGGGGUUCAUAGAGCUGCCUGUCUCCCAAUACUGGGUACUGAGUGGCCCAUGAGUGCCAGAGCCAGCGCUCUAAGCUCUGUGGAGAGGAAAGCAUGUCUAUGAUGGUGGACACAUUUCCUAAUCUUUACAUUAAUUAUUUUGUGCCUUUAUUAGUUUAUAUUAUUCUUUCUCUCAAAUUCUCUUUUCCAAUCUCUCUCUUUCUACCCCCCCCCCACUUUCUCUCUCUCUCACACACACACAGAUACCAAGUUUCCCUCCCUGAAUCCAAAAAGAAAUAAUUCUCCUUUUCUCUAUUUUGCCCUAAUCUCUCCUCCCUCCCCCUCUUUUCCCAGACCCCACUGUCUUUCCUCAGAUCUCGAGUUUCCCUACCCCAAUUUCCCUCCCCAAGCUCCUCAUUACUACCUUUGUCCCUAACCUGCAGUCACACUUCCAACGAAAUGGGUACCCUGAGGGCUGUGUGUUCCCUCCUCUAUCCACCCUCCAACUUCCGAGCCCCAAUCAGAGGCAACUGAACUGCUGGUUGGAAACCUCAGAGAAAGAAAGAAAAAAGGCAAGAAAGAAACCAGACUGGGAUCUCAUUGCCUCCCAAGCAUUCCAAAUGGGUGCUAUUCUGCAGAAUUGAUUUAGAAGCCCUUGCUCCAGCUCCUACCGCAUUUAGGGGUGUCUGUCCUCUGAAAGUUUCCCCGGGUUUGUUUCUUGUUCCCCAGUCCUCCUUUUCACUCCCAUCCUAGGAUGUCCCAUUGCCAGAGGGACCACAAAGGGUUGAGGAGGCUGGAAAGGGAAGGGUUCCUACUGUUGCAGUUUCCACCCUCAGAGCAACUCCAGGCCCUACUGCUUGCUCUUCACCAAGCCCCAUCUCCUCUCCUUGGCCGCAGCUGGCUGGGUGCCUUCCAGGCUCUCUUGUUAUUCCUUGAGGCAAAACUGUGCCGUCUGGAGAACAAUCAGGAGCACAAGUCCACAGUGAUUUUUUUUAGCCAGUGGUAAUACCUGUUAGAAGAGCUGAAAGAUCUGAAGUACAUUCUUUUUUUUUUGGGGGGGGGAGCAAGAGAAAAGAUCCCAGAGUACUUGUUCCCUUACUCCUUGGCCUGAGUCCCUGACCCACCAGGGCCCAAAGUUACUUGCUGUCUAACUGUGCUGAUUUCCAGUCAAGAUUUGUAGAUCUAAGAGCAGUUUCUUGCAGCCACAUACUCAGAUAGCCCUAAUAGGUCUCCUUAGAGGCAUCCUGGCUUGAACCCCAGUACUUCAUCAGGCUUGGGCAUUUUCUCCAUAUGAACACAGAAAAUGGCUCCCACCCUCAAUUUUACCCUAACUCCCAGUUGCCAAUGCUCUAGAAAGCCGCCAGCUCUCUAGGAAGGCUAUAGGAUCCUCAGGACAAAACAGUGAGGGCUCUGAAAGUGACUCUGUUGCUGGAGAGUAGGGAGGCCCACAGGUUCUCGCUGUUCCACAGGGCCCUAGGAAACUAGCUGCUCCAUCCCACCUGGCCUGACUUGGAGGGCCUGAAAAAGAGUGGGGACCAGAGUCUAGGGACCACCCCUUUCUCAUCCAUAAAGCAGAACUUGUGAGUGUGGAGUAAGAGGGUAUGAGGGAAGCAUUGGCAGAGUCAGAUAUAGCUACCUCUCCUGGAGGGGAGACAAUAGCUGGAAGUCAUCUCUCACCUUUGUUUUUCCCAGUCUCAUCGCCUGUCCUGGUGCAUCCAGAUGAGAGAAGGCAAAAGAAAAGUAUUUAACCAGGAAAUCACAGGAGGGUGGCAGGCUCUGUCUACACGAAGUUGAGAGAACCCGCUUCCGAGGCUGCCUUUGUAGAAGAGACUGCCUGCCCUCUAUUUUAUCCCCGAACCCCCGAGUCAGCAGUUAAAGAGAGUUGCAAACACUCCUGCUUGGGGAAAUGUCCUAGUGCUUUCAGUCUUUUUCCUUGGCUGAGAAUGGUUCAUCCCCACCCCCGCCUCAAAUCUGCAGACACCUACAUUUUUGGCUCCUGUCUUCCUCCUACAGGCCUCCCCCCUUGCCUUUUCCUGGCCUGUUCAAACACGCCCUAAGAAAACUUUAGCUUUUGUAGCCUUCCUCACUUGUGCCAAGAGUCGUAAAUCUUGCACAGCUGAGAGAGGAGAGAAACAAACAGGUUUGCUCAGAAUAAUAACAAAAACCAUCUUCCAUCUCUUCUGCAUGCACAUUUAAAAUGAAGCCCUGCUAGUUUUCAUAUUCUCAGAAGUACAAAUGUCCUUAUCACCUCUUAGCUCUUCUGCCUCUCUGGAGGUGAGAAUACUAACAGAAACUUCUCUGUGAAGUUCUUACAGCCCCUCUACUGCCAGCGGCACUGUCUGGAGUUCAAACUAAACUUCAGGGUCCUUCUUUUGUCACUCUCUCCUCAAACCCACACCCCCUGCAAGAUGUUCUGGGUUUUUAAAAUUGUCACUCACCGCUUAUUGUCUGUUCUAAAAAAAAAAAAAGGAGUGGGGAGGGGUAAUUUUUAAAAAGAAGGUCUGGCUUUACCCCCUCCCCUGUUAGAGACUGGGCCUAGAAAUUUGAGGGGAAAGGAAUAGAGAGGUUGUGGAAGGGAGAAGCGAAAAGUGGGAGACUAAGGAGGGAGUCAGAGGGAGAGAGGGCAGGAGACCUAGCCUCAGUCCAGGAGAAGUAAAACUACUUAAAAAAAAAAAAAAGUCCUGGUGUUCCAACUGUGAAUGAGUAUGGAGGGGCACCCAGCACCCUCAGGCCAGGCCAGUCUUUCACUAAGCCUCCAGAGGCCACUUCUCAAAUUAGCAUAAUGGUUCACUCUUGGGGUUUGGGGGGUAGCUUUGAACUCCACCAGCUCUCCUUCAUCUCUUCUUCCUCUCCCCUUCUCAAUUUAAAAAUCUACCUAUUCUUAAAAAAACAAGAACAAAACACUUCUACCUUCUUUCCUUCUCACUCUUUUUUUGGGGGGGGUAUUUAAAAUUCCCCCCUCCCCCAUCACCUUCUCUCCUUAUCAGGCAUCUAAGCUUGCUAAAGGGGGAGAGGUGGGGGUGUGUGUGAGCUUGUGUGUGAGUGAGAGAGUGUGUGUGUGUCUGUGUGGUUUUUUUUCCCUGUGCAAAAGCAGAGGCCAUUGUUACCGAGAGUAGGGCGUACCAGUCUUAUAGGGCAACCACACUGUGGCGGCUUGGCCGUGCCGGAGCCUGGAGCUGGAUUCUCGGCGAGGCGAGCCGCCCGGGCACCUUUCGGUCUUCUAUUUUUUUCCCCCCGCUCCCCCACCCCCUCCCUCUUGCGCACCCCCGCUCCUAAGCCGAGUGAAUUGAAGCGGACGCCGCGCGGCUCCUCUGGCCGGUCUGCCCCUCGGGCUCCCCAGCCGGGUGGCUUUG